rnacentral:lncRNA from 1 species
GGAACGCGAAUGGCACCAAACUUCCUUCUCAAGAAAUCAAAGCUGCAAUCUUCUGGGAUGUUGUUAAAGAAGAAGGUGACUAUCUGGGAUCUCGAAAGAGGUUUAACCCCAGUUCCACUCCUCCAAGUGUUCGGCUGCCUAUGAAAGUUAUUGCUCUGUUGAUACACCACAUUGCCUUCUGCUCCGGUCCUCUCGUGCCCCCUUCUCCUCACCACCCUCCAAACCUCCUCACGACUCAUGCUCUCCGGUCAAUGAACAAGGAAAAAAACUCUUAACCAAGCAACUUCAAGUUACUCCACAAUUAUUUCAACUCCAACAGCCACUGGUCAGAUCGAAAACAUUCAAGGUAUUCAACUAUCUCAAAUAUCCAUUCCAGUAAGCAUUCAUAUCCAAUCAUGAUCAGUUUCAUAACAGAAAACCAUUGCAACCACCAAUUACAGUAUGUAUGAGAACUCUAUUCGUUUGUUGCUAAGACAAAUCAGUGCAAACCCAAACUCCAAACUCCAAACCAUACGCCAUUUUCAUAGUAGAGAAGAGACUACAACUUAGCUUAAAGAGAAGUGAUGACUGCCCUGCUCUGAAUCGGACCUGCUCUGAAUCUGAAUACGGCACGGCGA